rnacentral:rRNA from 1 species
ACAAGUACCGUGAGGGAAAGUUGCAAAGCACUUUGAAGAGAGAGUUAAAGAGGACGUGAAACCGAUGAGAUGGAAACGGACAGAGCUGGCGUAUCUGGUCUGCAUUCAUCCGUGUGUUCUUGGGCGUUUGGAUUGCCACUCUCCAGACUGGGAUGGUGUUCAUUCUGUUCAGGGGCUCAUGGAGCAUUUGCAGGCGGAGUGCGCUGAGAUGCUCGGAACAGCUGUAUGAGCUUGGCUUUGAGGCCAGCCCUUCGGGGUCUGGUACCCGGGCUGUGGGAGUGCUGUUUGUUCUGGGUGCUGAGUGUGUGCAAUUGCAACGGGUCCGUGUUGGUUUGAGCUGGCGGUCGGUGGCGGUCGCGUGCGACACGUGCCAGCAGUCAGUUCGGUCCUGCUCGGGCUCUCAUUGCAUGUUCUCGGUGUAAAAGCCGGUCAUCUGUCCGACCCGUCUUGAAACACGGACCAAGGAGUUUAGCGUGUGCGCGAGUCAUUGGGAGUUGAAAACCCAAGGGCGUAAUGAAAGUGAAGGUCUCCUUGCGGAGCUGAUGUGUGAUCUCGUGCACCCCGGUGUGCGGGCGCAACAUAGUCCCGUCCCGAUCGCAUGCGAUGGGGCGGAGACAGAGCGUACGCGCUGAGACCCGAAAGAUGGUGAACUAUUCCUGAGCAGGAUGAAGCCAGAGGAAACUCUGGUGGAAGUCCGAAGCGAUUCUGACGUGCAAAUCGAUCGUCUGACUUGGGUAUAGGGGCGAAAGACUAAUCGAACCAUCUAGUAGCUGGUUCCUUCCGA